GAGACUGUAGCCCAGUGGAACAGCACCUGCCUUGCGUGCAGAAGGUCCUAGCUUCAAUCCUGGGUGCCUCA